rnacentral:rRNA from 1 species
CCUACGGGUGGCAGCAGUGGGGAAUAUUGGGCAAUGGGCGCAAGCCUGACCCAGCAACGCCGCGUGAAGGAAGAAGGCUUUCGGGUUGUAAACUUCUUUUCUCAGGGACGAAGCAAGUGACGGUACCUGCGGAAUAAGCCACGGCUAACUACGUGCCAGCAGCCGCGGUAAUACGUAGGUGGCAAGCGUUAUCCGGAUUUACUGGGUGUAAAGGGCGUGUAGGCGGGAAAGCAAGUCAGAUGUGAAAACCAUUGGCUCAACCUGUGGCCUGCAUUGGAAACUGUUUUUCUUGAGUACUGGAGAGGCAGACGGAAUUCCUAGUGUAGCGGUGAAAUGCGUAGAUAUUAGGAGGAACACCAGUGGCGAAGGCGGUCUGCUGGACAGCAACUGACGCUGAGGCGCGAAAGCGUGGGGAGCAAACAGGAUUAGAUACCCUUGUAGUC